UAAACCUAGGAUAAGUCUUUUUAAGUGCUCGUGAAGAAUCUAUUUGGAUCCUAGUCUGGCAUUCAGGCAAGAGUAGAUCUGCCAAUGGGUACCAUUGAGCAGAAAAUACUUCUGAUUCUUGAAGUCUCAACGACGGCAUAUAGGGAAGAAUAAAUACUGUGGAAGUAUAAAGUUAGAAACCUAAAAAAAACCGUUUGUUAAAUAAAUAUAAUACAUACCAAAGGAAGAUAAAAGAAGUAACGGAAAUUGACCCCAAUUAGAAGUGAUUACACGUUCAUCCAAAGCACCAACAAAAUGUGCAUGCUCUUUUCGUAAAUCAAUACCAACUUCCUCUAAUGUUUCACGGUGUGCAGUUUGAAUGUCUGAUUUAUCAGUCAAAGAGCGUGUGCCUCCUGGCAAGGCCAUAUGACCAGACCAUCGAUCGGUGUCUCGAAAUGAGCGUUGAAUGAGAAGUACAUAAGGAACAGAAGUAAUGGGAAUACAUUGAGGCCAUUUUGGGUUAGAAAAAUCUUGGGAUUCUUUAAAAGCUAUUAUAACAGCUACCGAAGCCCUUCUUGGAGGAGCAUUUGGUGUUACUCUCGGACAAUAUUCAGAAAGUAAUUGUAGACCGGUUAAUAAGUCCAAUUCCAACUCCAUAUAUUGUAAGCUCAAUUUCCAAAAGAAUUAUUUUGUAUUCCACUUAUAAAGGAGUAAAUCUUAUUAGUGCUGUUGCUUCAGCUCCUAAUAAUUAAAGAAAGAAAAAAAAGUAAAAAAUGGAUAAAUAGAAAUUUGGAUAAUAAAAUCUAUUGUAAGGAUUACCUCAACGGAAGUUUACAACAAUGUAGUCGGAAGUACAGAUGAAGCACCCAGCAUCCAAUUCUAGAUGAUGCAA